rnacentral:rRNA from 1 species
UCCAGACUCCUACGGGAGGCAGCAGUGGGGAAUAUUGCGCAAUGGGCGAAAGCCUGACGCAGCGACGCCGCGUGAGGGAUGAAGGUCUUCGGAUCGUAAACCUCUGUCAGCAGGGAAGAACGGUCACUGUGCUAAUCAGCAGUGAAUUGACGGUACCUGCAAAGGAAGCACCGGCUAACUCCGUGCCAGCAGCCGCGGUAAUACGUAUGGAGCAAGCGUUAUCCGGAUUUACUGGGUGUAAAGGGGGCGCAGACGGCGAUGCAAGCCAGGAGUGAAAGCCCGGGGCCUAACCCCGGGACUACUCUUGGAACUGCGUGGCUAGAGUGCAGGAGGGGCAGGCGGAAUUCCUGGUGUAGCGGUGAAAUGCGUAGAUAUCAGGAGGAACACCGGUGGCGAAGGCGGCCUGCUGGACUGCAACUGACGUUGAGGCCCGAAAGCGUGGGGAGCAAACAGGAUUAGAUACCCCCGUAA